CACAAUUGCUACCUUUUAUAUUUCCAAGGGGAUUGCAUUCAUUUUUCUCUUUGUUGUUUUUACUGCAGCAGGAUAUGGCACUGGAAAUCGGAUGCAGCCAGCAGAGUUGAGGUGGGGAUGGCGAUGGCAGCAGGCAGGCCUCCAUAAUUAGAUCUGGUAUCUGAGAUCUCCAAAUGCCCUCUUACUUUUCCUUUGGCAAGGGACAGGAUUAUCCACACAUCUGAGGGACAAAAAAGUCUGCAGGAAGCUUCUAGCUCUGCAUCAGAAGUGUGCUCUAGUGAAUAUGCCGGGAAGAAGAGAUGGCUGAAGCAGCAACUCCACAGUGGAGCAGGGAGAAAGGACCAGGCUGGAACAAUGCUCUAAUCAGAAAGAGUAUGAGAUGCUGCCCUUGUGGUUCAUGGACCAGGAAAUGGCAGUGCAGUUCUUGGGACAGCAGACAAAGGACAUCAGACUGCAGAGACAGAAUUCAUGAAUAAAACUGAUCGCAUUCCUUGAGUUCUAAAAUAAGGAUUAUGGGCAAUCCUCUUACUGCUUAUUUGGUUCAGCAUUGUAUUAAUGUUUUAGUGCUCCAGAAAUCAGCAUGUGUUUUUGUAGUUCUCUAGUUAUCACCGUAGCUUAGAGUACAUUUUGAAACCUGUUUAAUGUGAAUCAGUUACCCUCAACAUUCUUUAACCUAAUUUAUUAUGGCACAGACAACCAUUUACCAAGUGAACACUUAUCAUUGUCUGCAUGUAACCACUUGACAAGUUGGUUAUCCAUAACAUCCUGCCAAGCAGCAAGAAUUUUGUCACUUCUUUGGUUCCUUGAUGUGUAAAUGCGUAGUAAAGUUGUUGAGACAAACUGGCAGAAUGUUAGA